rnacentral:misc_RNA from 1 species
GUCGUAACAAGGUUUCCGUAGGUGAACCUGCGGAAGGAUCAUUACCACACCUCAAUUUUCCAAAAGCCAUGUAGACAUAGGUUCUUACCGAACCGAAAACUCGUGGUGAGUCCCGUGAAACUGAAUAACAAUUUAUGACUGGGCGUUUCCAUGCACUCCUCAUGGCAGUUGCACUGGAAACAAUCGGUCCGCCUUUUUAUUUUUAUUCCACUUUCUUUACCGAAAGUGCGAACAUUUUCCCAAACAUCCUGUUAUCGAAACAUUCUCACACAGCGACAUGUCGGAUAUUCUUGUGAUAUCCGGUACUCGCCGAUUGAUAAAGUAACGAUUAACACUUUCAGCAACGGAUGUCUUGGCUCCCA